CAUCGCGAUAAGUUGAAACGUCUUGCUGUGUUUCUUCUGUAAGUUUGUGUAAGACGUAUGAAUGGUAUAAAGGAAUAAAAAACAUGCAGCUAUCCAUGCGGCUUGACAAAAGUCACAUAUAUACCUCUCGGUCAGUUAGUGUUCGAUCAUCACUGUGUGCAGAUCAUGUUUGGAAAGUUUUGUGUUACAUUCGAUUGAAAUUCGUGUUCUCAAUUUUUCGUUAUUGAAUUUUAGAUAAUUUGCAUAAAGAUCAGGGAAAUUUCUGGGAAAAUGUUAAAAGAAAAUUUAAUGGAAGAAAAUUUUGGCUUGAUUGAAUAAUAGUCUUGAAAAAAAUUUGGAAAUAAAUUUGAAUUUUAACGUAAAAUCGGGGAUUUUAGUAGCAUGUGGUUGAAGUUUUCGAUUGGCGCCAUUGUAAUUGUGAAAUUUUGAAAUUUCGAGAAAUUUCGUAUUGGUGAUGAUGGCGACUACAGAAGAGCUAGUUAAAUUAAAACCUACACGCAAUAUUAUAUAUCGGAGGCUAUAAUGUGGGAUGAACUGCUGAUCUAAUGGCACAGAUUAAUUGAUUAUACAAUUUUUCAAUCAAUUUCGUAGACGAUUAUUGUCAAGGAAGUUCUUCUGGUUGUUUUUACAUUUGAAUAUGUUUUUACCGUCUGUCCACUCUGUGGUCUGUGAUGUUGAAACAUCAAAUGGUUGCGUUCAAUGUGAAUAUGAAUGUAUGAGAUCAAUGGCAAAAGAUGACAGUAAAUUCGGAUUUAAAAAAAAAAACUUUGAACUUACGCCACAGACACAGAGAGACUUGUCCUAAUUGGAUCAUUGAAUUCGCUUACACGCACAAAGUGUGUUGUUAUUUCCUACACUUACAGUUGAACGAAAUUUGUAAUAAAUGGCGUGAUAGUUGGAGAAGCAAUGAUGCUUCUCUAGAAUAGAAUUCAUAUAAUUUUAUUUAGUACAAUUGCUAAAGGUUUCCUAUGUGCAGAAUGAGCACCAACUGAAUAUCACCAACUGGUGUACAAACCAAAACACUUUAUGUGUUAGUAGAUCUAGCUGUUGAUAUUCAGCUGAUGCUCAUUCUGCACAUAGGAAACUUUUAAUAAUUGUAAGUUCACGUUACAAAAAAAUAGUCGGACUAUUCAACUGUCCUAAACUGUCAAGGUCAAGGAACAACAAUCACCAGUGAAAUGAUGUGGUGCACUGCCCUACAUGUAAAAUGCCAAAAUUGUCGAAUUACGUUUAACGCUCCAUGUGAUUACCAUGGAAAUUCACCGUUCCAUCCUAGUUUACCGGCGAUAUAAAAAACUUGCCAUUAAAUUUUUCAUUGAGUUAUCACGAUUUCUAGCUAAGUUACGAUGUUUGACUUGGUUAAUCAAUGAUUAAUCACUGGUUAAUCAUGGUAAAUCUAUGGUGAAUCAGGUUAAUCAAAAAGAGUGAGCAACCCCUCGCAUUCAACUGAAAAAAAACUUGCUGACAAGUGGUGAAAACGUCAACAAGUUCCAUGCCCUAUGGACUUUUGUUUGAAUAUCACACCAUCUAUUGCAGCUUCACCCAUCCCGAUCCCUUAAUUUUCUAAAUUUUGUGCCUUGACUGCAGUGGUAUCCGGAGGUGAUUGAGCACCGCACUCCGAUACCGAUACGUGUAAUCGGAAAAGCGGUUUGAUAUGGAUAGUUUUUUGUCUUGUCAUCUGUUAUCGACAAAGGUGACCAAAUAAGCAAUGAUUUCUAGAUAGUAUGUUCUAUUAUAGCAAUAUAUGCUAUGAAGUAAAAGAUUUGACAACAAAAUAAAUUUUAACAAUAGAAGUAACUGAUUAUGUGACAAUGACAAUACAUGGUCAUUUGUAAAAUAUUAAUAUUCUAUGCUUAAAAACAGGAAACCUAACUGUUGUUUCGAUCAACAUAUACGAUAAGUCGAUGACUGUAAUCCGCAGCAACAAUAAAAAAAAUUAAAUCCCAAUUUAAAGAACAGACAGAUCUGACGGACAAAAAGCAGAAAAUAAUAAAAUUGAUUGAAAGACAAAGAUCCGAGCAAAAACUAAGCCCUCUUUCAAACUGUAACACAAUUUUCCAGUGAGUUUCGGCUCGAACAUCAAGCUAUAUUGGUUAGGAUCAAGUAAAUAAUCAAUAACGUGGCUGGUCACUGGUCAGUUAAUAUAUAUGUUCACAAAACGGUAGUGAAUUUGAUCAAAUUGAAAGUGCACUGAAAGCGAUAAAUUUUCUAAGUGACACAACAAUCCUUUAAAAACUAAAGAUUUAAACAAAUAAUCUCCAUAGCAAAUCUAUAAAAUCUUAUUAACUUAAAUUAUAAAUUAUUUUUUGUGUUUUAUUUAUUUUCUGUGGUAAAAACUUAUAGCACACUCUACAAACUAUUUAUCAGACUACAUUACAGUGGAUAUGUGUAAUAAUAUUAAAUAAAAUUUAUUUCCAUCAUGUCUUGUGUUUUACUGAACGUUCCAUGCAACAACAAAAACAACAACAGCAACAACUCAACAAAAAUUGCAAUAAAAAUAUCUCAAUAAAUAUUAACUACAAUUUUAUAACAAACUUAUA